GCCAGCUUCACUCAGGACUCUGACUUGCUCUACAUUUGGCUCAACUGAAGACUCCCGGGGGUUACGUGCAUGUCAUCCAAGAAAUACAUCUAUGAUGAGCUACAACACAAAUGAAUGGGCCAUUUUAUUGAUUUUUACCUCCUAAUAGUGGAUACAGGUUGCCGUGGUUUCCAGCAGGAUCUCAGAUGCAAAGGGAAGUGAAGAAAACAGAUGAAUCCCUAGGGUACCCCGCCAUGGAACCAAACACCACAUCAACUGGAACUCUUCUUGCAAACGAAGGCUGAAGAUCAAGAAUGACAUUCUCACACCACAGCACAGCUUAAAUACUUCUUUGACAAAAAUAAUAAUAAAUUAUAUUUGACUCAGAAAAUAAAUUCUGUUCAGCAGAGUGACAGGAGGGUCCAUUCAUUGCAUUGCACGAGGGGCUCUACGGAGGGGUGAGGAUGGGUGCAGGAUGCCACAGUGACAAGGGACAUGGGGUGCGGGCCCAGCAGCACAGGCUGAAGUUAGCUGACGCAUGCUUUUGGCUUUUAUCCCACGGGCGGGUAGUGGCCGGACCCCUGGCUGUGGCCUGUCCCAAGUGAGACUGCAACUGUCCCCUUCCUCCUCACGUCCGCCUUGUCUUCUGUUUCUUGGCUUGUCUCUUUGCAUCUUCUGGGCCGCUAUUGUCAGAGGCUGCCUGGCCGAGCGCGCCGACUCCCUGUAGCCGGCUUGUCAACUGCAGCAGCAAAGGAAUGAGCUAGAAAAGAGAGAAAGUGUGAGAGAGAGGGGUACAAAGAGGAGGCUUUUGCCAGAUGAACAGCGGAGCCUCACUUCUCAACACACCUUCUUCAGACAUGAUCAGCAGCUGCCACGUGCUAAUGGGUGGGUUUCAGUUCAAACGAGGCAGGCCUCUUACUAAUGAGUCCCCAGGGAUGGGCUGGCCUCUCUCCGGGCCUAAUAUGUCCCUAGAGGUGUUCCAGGUUUAAGGAUUAGGAGAUGUUACAGAAGUUUACAGCCUUGAAAGGAGACCUAAGUCUGGACUUGAGGCCUUCACGGGCCCUCCCGACCGGGAAAUGUGAUUUCUGUGACCCUGGACAUCCCUCUGCUAUCACUCCUGCAGCUGUGAGGACUCGCUCUCCCUGACAUGCCCGCCAUCUCCUGAGGCCUCUGGAUUUCCUACCUUGUCAUGGUUGUAACCGGCCAGCAGAACCAGCAGCGUCAAUGGCAGGGCAAUGUAGGAUCCUUGUGCGAUGUCCUGUUCAGGCAGCUUCCUCU
rnacentral:lncRNA from 10 species